CAUUUGUCUGAGAUCUGCAUCUCCAAGUUGUGAGCCGAAAGUUGUUAAUGGUGGAGGAGCCCAACAGGAGCGACAUGAGAACACAUGUGGCCACUCUUGAAGGACAAACCUUAUCCUGUGUGUUUUGAUGUGUUCUCAGGUCGCCCCUGCAGGGCUUUCCUUCACCUUCUGAUUGUGUCACACUUCAUUUUGAUAGCCAUAUUGAUUUAAAAAGGAGAUGCAGGGAUGAUUGGAGCUUCGUCACUCACCAGCAUUAACAGUCCUAUUUCGGUGAAGCUGCGCAUGAUAUUGCAAGGGAGGUCCUUCCUUCUGACUGAUAGAUUAUGUUAGGGGCACUAUGUUUGUCUGUGUGUGUCUGCUGGUUGGGUUUAUAGUCCUUUCAUUAUGUAUUCAAGAUUUGUACUGCCAGGUUUAUUCAUUAUUUGAGGUCAUAUUUGUUAUCAUCA